rnacentral:hammerhead_ribozyme from 1 species
AUCCGACUGAAGAGUCCCAAAAUAGGACAUAACUCGCGUGCCGGAU